rnacentral:lncRNA from 1 species
AGGGUGGAAUGGGGAAAACUGCCUGAUCUCACCCUUCUCUCCCCCUCUGAUCUACUGCUAGUCCUUCCUGCUGGCCAAACCCAACCGGAUGGAAGUCAAAAGACCAGGGGUCCCGCAGAGGUAGCACACACGUGUCAACAUGGCAGCAACUCAGAACACGCACCAAUGUGGAGAAGGAUGGGACACAUUCCGGGAGUGCCAGUAGAAAUAUCCGUAUGCCAUGGAAACUAGGGCCUGAGGAAGUGCGUGUAAACCCUCAUGAUGCACCAUCUGCUGGAUCAGCAAGAUUAUGCUACAACCAGUCAUAUCCAACCACAUGCUGGAACUUUGCUCAAAUUCCCCAAGGCAUUGAAAAUCUAAUAACAGCUCUACUGAUUCUGCAUGUGGAACUCAUAGGCACUAGAAGCAGCACUUGGGCCCCUCUCAGCUCAGCUACUUCCUAACAGGGGGGUCUCAUCAGCUUACUUUCAGGCUCCACCUAACAGCAAAGGCUCCUUUCCGCUUGGAAUCCCUGAGGAAUGUCUGAACAUCCCAUUCUUCAGCUUUAGCCUUGGAAGACAUGUGUUUCCAAAGAAGCCUGUAGCCAAACUAUGGUUUUAGGAGAAAUCAUUUAGCGGCAUGCUGAUGGCAGAAUUGAAAAGGAAGUAGAUCAGCCUGAAGGCAGUUUCAGUAGAAGAAAAGGU